rnacentral:rRNA from 1 species
GGUCAGGUCGAGUAGACCAAGGCGCUUGAGAGAACUCUGCUGAAGGAACUAGGCAAAAUGGUACCGUAACUUCGGGAGAAGGUACGCUGUUGUUGGUGAUGGAACUCGCUUCCUGAGCUGACGACAGCCGCAGAAACCAGGCCGCUGCAACUGUUUAUUAAAAACAUAGCACUCUGCAAACACGAAAGUGGACGUAUAGGGUGUGAUGCCUGCCCGGUGCUGGAAGGUUAAUUGAUGGGGUUAGCGUAAGCGAAGCUCUUGAUCGAAGCCCCAGUAAACGGCGGCCGUAACUAUAACGGUCCUAAGGUAGCGAAAUUCCUUGUCGGGUAAGUUCCGACCUGCACGAAUGGCAUAAUGAUGGCGGCGCUGUCUCCAGCAGAGGCUCAGUGAAAUCGAAAUCGCUGUGAAGAUGCAGUGUACCCGCGGCUAGACGGAAAGACCCCGUGAACCUUUACUGCAGCUUGACACUGAACUUUGACCUUACUUGUGUAGGAUAGGUGGGAGGCUUUGAAGCUGGAACGCUAGUUCCAGUGGAGCCGUCCUUGAAAUACCACCCUGGUAAUGUUGAGGUUCUAACUCUGUCCCGUGAUCCGGGACGAGGACCGUGUCUGGUGGGUAGUUUGACUGGGGCGGUCUCCUCCUAAAGAGUAACGGAGGAGUACGAAGGUGCGCUCAGCGUGGUCGGAAAUCACGCGUAGAGUAUAAAGGCAAAAGCGCGCUUAACUGCGAGACCCACAAGUCGAGCAGGUACGAAAGUAGGUCUUAGUGAUCCGGUGGUUCUGUAUGGAAGGGCCAUCGCUCAACGGAUAAAAGGUACUCUGGGGAUAACAGGCUGAUACCGCCCAAGAGUUCAUAUCGACGGCGGUGUUUGGCACCUCGAUGUCGGCUCAUCUCAUCCUGGGGCUGAAGCAGGUCCCAAGGGUAUGGCUGUUCGCCAUUUAAAGAGGUACGCGAGCUGGGUUUAGAACGUCGUGAGACAGUUCGGUCCCUAUCUACCGUGGGCGCUGGAAAUUUGAGAGGAUCUGCUCCUAGUACGAGAGGACCAGAGUGGACGAACCUCUGGUGUACCGGUUGUGACGCCAGUCGCAUCGCCGGGUAGCUAUGUUCGGAAGGGAUAACCGCUGAAAGCAUCUAAGCGGGAAGCCUACCUCAAGAUAAGAUUUCCCUAGGACUUUAUGUCCUCUAAAGAGCCGUUCGAGACUAGGACGUUGAUAGGUUGGAUGUGGAAGCAUAGUGAUAUGUGAAGCUGACCAAUACUAAUUGCUCGUGAGGCUUGACUA